GACGAACCGUACGAACGUUAUUCGGAAUUACUGGGCUUAAAGGGUGCGUAGGCUGUGCAGAAAGUUGGGUGUGAAAUCCCCCGGCUCAACCGGGGAAUAGCGCUCAAAACUACUGUGCUAGAGGGAGACAGAGGUAAGCGGAACUCAGGGUGGAGCGGUGAAAUGCGUUGAUAUCCUGAGGAACACCGGUGGCGAAAGCGCUCAUCUGGCCCAAUACUGACGCUGAGGCGCGAAAGCUAGGGGAGCAAACGGG
rnacentral:rRNA from 1 species